rfam:Macaca mulatta chromosome X, whole genome shotgun sequence.
AGGUCCUCAAUAAGUAUUUGUUGAAAGAAUAAAUAAACCAACAAGUCUUAUUUGAGCACCUGUUAUG